UGGGGAAUAUUGCACAAUGGGGGAAACCCUGAUGCAGCGAUGCCGCGUGGAGGAAGAAGGUUUUCGGAUUGUAAACUCCUGUCGAAGAGGACGAUAAUGACGGUACUCUUCAAGAAAGCUCCGGCUAACUACGUGCCAGCAGCCGCGGUAAUACGUAGGGAGCAAGCGUUGUCCGGAUUUACUGGGUGUAAAGGGUGCGUAGGCGGCUUUGCAAGUCAGAUGUGAAAUCUAUGGGCUCAACCCAUAAACUGCAUUUGAAACUGUAGAGCUUGAGUGAAGUAGAGGCAGGCGGAAUUCCCCGUGUAGCGGUGAAAUGCGUAGAGAUGGGGAGGAACACCAGUGGCGAAGGCGGCCUGCUGGGCUUUAACUGACGCUGAGGCACGAAAGCGUGGGUAGCAAACAGGAUUAGAUACCCUGGUAGUCCACGCUGUAAACGAUGAUUACUAGGUGUGGGGGGUCUGACCCCUUCCGUGCCGGAGUUAACACAAUAAGUAAUCCACCUGGGGAGUACGGCCGCAAGGUUGAAACUCAAAGGAAUUGACGGGGGCCCGCACAAGCAGUGGAGUAUGUAGUUUAAUUCGAAGCAACGCGAAGAACCUUACCAGGUCUUGACAUCCAACUAACGAAGUAGAGAUACAUUAGGUGCCCUUCGGGGAAAGUUGAGACAGGUGGUGCAUGGUUGUCGUCAGCUCGUGUCGUGAGAUGUUGGGUUAAGUCCCGCAACGAGCGCAACCCUUGCUAUUAGUUGCUACGCAAGAGCACUCUAAUAGGACUGCCGUUGACAAAACGGAGGAAGGUGGGGACGACGUCAAAUCAUCAUGCCCCUUAUGACCUGGGCUACACACGUACUACAAUGGAUGUUAACAGAGGGAAGCAAGACAGCGAUGUGGAGCAAACCCCUAAAAACAUUCUCAGUUCAGAUUGCAGGCUGCAACCCGCCUGCAUGAAGAUGGAAUUGCUAGUAAUCGCGGAUCAGCAUGCCGCGGUGAAUACGUUCCC
rnacentral:rRNA from 1 species